UUUACAGGUGACGACAGGUGAGGAUCUUGAACUUGUUUGUCCAUAUCUUGCUCCUGUCUGAUGUGACCGUUUAUCAGGCAUCUUGCGGCAGACCGACAGCUGACGAGAGGGAGGUGGAGUUAAGUCUGGCAGCCGGAUCAGAAUCCCAGUUAUUCCCACUCCCCUGUCCUCUCAGCCCGGGAAGAGCAUCCCUGGGGACGUUUACUGACGGAGACUGCCUGACACCUCCUUUCGUGCUGCUCAGUUCCACCCCCUGCUGGCGAACUGGAGCCGAGUGACCGGACAGUACUGGGUCCUUUCUCCCUCUGUAGGCCCAGUGUGGGUGAGCUGGGCCGGUCGUCCUUAAUGGCCAAUUACACCCCCAAAAACAAUACUAGUGAAUCAGUCAAGCCACAGUUCAGAGACCCUUCCCAACUGUGGCCUGUCUUGUGUCUUAACUUAUUAGGGCUUUCGCUGUUGACGAUGUUUCGUUGUGUGGCAGAAGGUGGUUUUUUUUUUUAAAUGUCAGUGCGUUGUGAUUCCAGGGGACCCCGUGAUUACUGAAGCCCCCGGCACUGAGAGCCCCGGUCCAGUCCAGCCUCAGACACUGGGACGCCACCAGAGCGGGCACAGGGGCCGGGAGCCCAGCCCUGCACCGGGAGACACCUUUCUCCCUUGUCUGUCCACGCAGGGAGAGACGCGGGAGACGACACGGCCACGGGUAACACAGGAUCCCCCACCGCCGCAGUCGUGGCGGCGGUGGCCUCCACCCUCUGCGCGCUGGGCCUCCUGCUCGGACUGGCCCUGCUCUGGAGGAGGUCCAGGAGACGCCGGGCCGCAGCCUUCGGCCCCGGGGCCACAGCGACGGCCGUAGAUGGCCCACCGGCGGCCGGGGCUGAAGCAGCACAGAGCACAGCAGGACAGGUGGACGACGUCCAGGGGGAGGGAGAGGUCCACUACGCCUCCCUGGGACACCAGGGCAAGAGGGACCCACGGCCCCGAGCCCAGGACGCGGACUCCAGCGUGGUCUACUCCUCCGUCGCCCGGCGCGGGACCGACUGAGCGAGCAGGCCGCGGUGGACCGGCGCCCUUCCGACCGUCCCAGCUUGAGUGAUGAACUGAAGAAGAGGACACUGCAGCGACGUCUCCUCACAUCCCGGGGGCGGGUGCGCUGUGAUUUGUACGGUUCGGUACUUAUUUAAUAUUUGACACCGUGAGUUUCUCAAUAACACUUGUAAGACGGCAGACUGCGCUGUCCGGACACGUGUCUUUGAUUUUACGGUCCUGCCCCGAGUCGUCAGAGUUACGCCACUGUGCGCUGUCUGCAGGCUUGCCUCGCUGCUUGGGUCUGUCAUACACACAGGUGCAGGUGCUCUCUGGGAACCCACACAGGUGAACUAAUACAGGAGCUCUCUGGGAACUAAUACAGGAGCUCUCUGGGAACGGGCACAGG
rnacentral:lncRNA from 1 species